rnacentral:misc_RNA from 1 species
GUUGAUGUUUUCCCAUUUCUCUUUACACUUCUUUGCAGUUCGGUUAUAGCCCAUAUUGCACAUUCCAACAGAUAUCUCAUCCCAAAUAUUAGAGCAUUUGGUGCCCAUAGCUCGGAACUUCUGUUCCAAAGCAGUUCGUAGCAUUAUAAGGGCUUGUACUUCAGCCUCUGGCCAUCUUCUAUUACUUGGAUCACACUUGAAAUCAUUUUGAAUGGAAAUACUGCUUGCAUCUUUUUCUCCAUGUUUCUCUGCAUGUGAGGUGAUUGCUGUUAAAGGUUGAGGGAUUUCAAUUUUAUCGCCCAUCACAUUCUGAAUAAGGGAAAUGAGGGCUACGUUACGAGCAUUCUCUUGGGCCCUUAGCUCUUCAUCCCUUCUCAUCCUCUCUCUCUCCUGCUGUUUCCAAGCUUCUUCUCUUAUCAUUCUUUCCCUCUCUAUCCUCUCCAUCGUCUCUAUCAACUGCUUAUGCAUCUGCUCUUGCUUCUCCAUGACCUUUGAUACCAAGUUUUCCAAAAAAUCCUUAAGUUUUUCCCUAGUUCUUCUUUUUCUCUUCCGACUAACACAUCCCUUAAUGAUGCCUGCUGAUGAAUCAUCAUCUGAAAAUGAACUGGAUUCAACCUCCAAUAAACCUCUAACACCAUUCGGGUGCUGAUUCUCUCCACCCGCAUCCGACCCAAUUCCCGCCGAACUAUCCGCUACCAAACACGGAGCACCAGUAACCCCAAAGCUAUUCAGCACCAUCUCACUGGCCUCUGCUUUCACUGGCGGCUUGAAAUACUCGCUAUCCUCUCCACUAAUCCCACACACCUGAUCUGCCAAAAGCCCUAAAUUCUCCAGUGUCCCGUCCAGCCCAUCCACCAGCGGCAGAUCGUUUGCCUGAGAACUCGACGGAGACCUACCGUUUGCCCUGAUAGGACGGAGUUUCUGCGGCGGCAAGUUUUGACCGUCGAUAUCUGAAGAGUGAAUCACGGCCAUUGGAUUGGAGAUGAGAAGGUUUCCGGUUGCCUGGAAAGGAAAUAUGCGUUGGGCGAAGUCAGUAGUAGAGUUCGGAACUCGCCGGUCGCCGGUUAGCAGUUCCAUUUCCUGGUAUUAUUUAUUUUUUAUUAUUAUUAUUUAAAAAAACAAAAAAAGGGAAGGAGAUAAAGGUAACAGCUGCCUUGAGGGUUUUUUUUCAGAUACAGGUGAAAUGGCAGCUAGUAAAUGGGCGGAGUAAAAUGGGUAAAUGGGGCUCUAUGAAAUUACGAUAUUACUCUCUUGUUUCUCCAUAUUUAUGAAAUUAUCCUUUGGAUCAUGAUGUAUAAGAUAUUGGGAUCUAAUUGGGCUGAAGUCGGCCAUUG